rnacentral:rRNA from 1 species
AUACGGAGGGUGCGAGCGUUAAUCGGAAUUACUGGGCGUAAAGGGCGCGUAGGUGGUUUGAUAAGUCAGAUGUGAAAUCCCUGGGCUUAACCUGGGAAUUGCAUUUGAUACUGUCAGACUAGAGUGUGGUAGAGGUAAGCGGAAUUCCCGGUGUAGCGGUGAAAUGCGUAGAUAUCGGGAAGAACAUCAGUGGCGAAGGCGGCUUACUGGAUCAACACUGACACUGAGGCGCGAAAGCGUGGGUAGCAAACAGAAUUAGAAACCCCAGUAGUCC